ACGGGAGGCAGCAGUGAGGAAUAUUGGUCAAUGGAGGCAACUCUGAACCAGCCAAGUCGCGUGAAGGAAGAAGGCCCUACGGGUCGUAAACUUCUUUUGCAGGGGGAUAAAGUCGGCCACGCGUGGCCGUUUGCAGGUACCCUGUGAAUAAGCAUCGGCUAACUCCGUGCCAGCAGCCGCGGUAAUACGGAGGAUGCGAGCGUUAUCCGGAUUUAUUGGGUUUAAAGGGUGCGCAGGCGGUUUUUUAAGUCAGUGGUUAAAUCGUGAGGCUCAACCUCAUCACGCCAUUGAUACUGGAAGACUUGAUUGCGGUUGAGGUUGGCGGAAUUCGUCGUGUAGCGGUGAAAUGCAUAGAUAUGACGAAGAACACCGAUUGCGUAGGCAGCUGACCAAGCCGUAAAUGACGCUCAUGCACGAAAGUGCGGGGAUCGAACAGGAUUAGAUACCCUGGUA
rnacentral:rRNA from 1 species